rnacentral:lncRNA from 1 species
UGAAAUGUCAUCGUUUUGAGGAGUGGGAGAGCAGGCGGGGGAAGUCAAUAGAGGAGAGAAGACAGAGGGUGGACUCUCAUCCAGAGCAGCCUGAUGGAGUGCCCUUUUUUUAAAUACCCAGAUGCGAGGGAGCGGAUUAGGAGAUUACGGCUCUCUGAAUCCAUUCAGGUAAGCCAUUCAUUUACUUGUUGAUAAAGUCAGUACUAUAAAUGUACAUUUCAGGUUGAAUUACAAUUGUUAAUGUUAGUCUUUUGUUAUAUAGAUGUUGUUUGAUUUUGUGGGGGAGGAUGAUGCCUCGAGUGAGGUUUUUACCCCCCGGGCAGCAGCGGGCUUCGCAACCCUGAAGAGCACGAUUAACGGGUCAUUGGAGGACCAUGGCAUUCGGGAGUCAACAACACUGUAUGUGUUGUGGUUGUCUGUGGAGGAUGUGCAGGCAAUCCUAUCACCUCACCUCUCACCGGCCCCCCCACUUUCUCCUUCUCACUCACCUUCGCCUUCACCUUCCCCUCCCUAAUCUCCAUCUCCAUCAUCGGACCCAGAG